rnacentral:misc_RNA from 1 species
CCGAGUUUACAACUCCCAAACCCCUGUGAAACAUAACCACUUGUUGCCUCGGCGGAUCAGCCCGCUCCGGUAUAAAACGGGACGGCCCGGCCCAGAGGACCCCUAAACUCUGUUUCUAUAUGUAACUUCUGAGUAAAACCAUAAAUAAAUCA